CAAUAGCGUAUAUUAAAGUUGUUGCGGUUAAAAAGCUCGUAGUUGGAGUUCUGCCAGGUGACGCUCGUCCGCCCAAGUGGUGUGUACAGGGCGUGCAUCUGGCCCUUUCAAGGGGAACGUGUCUGCACUUUACUGUGUGGUGCGAGAUCCUUGACUUUUACUUUGAGGAAAUCAGAGUGUUCCAAGCAGGCUCUCGUCGUGUAUAGCUCAGCAUGGAAUAAUAGCAUUGGACUUCGUUUCUAAGCUGUUGGUUGCAAGAAGCGAGGUAAUGAUGAAGAGGGAUAGUUGGGGGCAUUCGUAUUUAACUGUCAGAGGUGAAAUUCUUGGAUUGUUAAAGACGGACUACUGCGAAAGCAUCUGCCAUGGAUGUUUNCAUUG
rnacentral:rRNA from 1 species